rnacentral:misc_RNA from 1 species
GUCGUAACAAGGUAGCCGUAGGGGAACCUGCGGUUGGAUCACCUCCUUACCUGAAGAUACUUUCCCGCGAAGUGCUCACACAGAUUGUCUGAUAGAAAAGUAAUGAGCAAGACGGCUGCGAAGUCGUGACACCUUUGUGUCCCCUUCGUCUAGCGGUUAGGACUCCGCCCUUUCACGGCGGCAACAGGGGUUCGAAUCCCCUAGGGGACGCCACUUGCUUGGUGACAGGUGAAAGGUGUCUCCACGAAGUAUCUCAAAACCGAUUCAGUUGCGUGAGCAGCCGAGCCGCGUUUGAGAUAUUUGCUCUUUAACAAUCCGGAACAAGCUGAAAAUUGAAACGACGCAGCGCGUUAUUCCUCCGUAAUAAGGAAUAACAAGGCGAUGCGUUCGAGUCUCUCAAAUGCUUGCAGCACGCAGCGUUGAAAAACGCCUGUGGGUUGUGAGGUUAAGCGACUAAGCGUACACGGUGGAUGCCUUGGC